rnacentral:rRNA from 1 species
CAGCAGCCGCGGUAAUACGUAGGUCCCGAGCGUUGUCCGGAUUUAUUGGGCGUAGAGCGAGCGCAGGCGGUUAGAUAAGUCUGAAGUUAAAGGCUGUGGCUUAACCAUAGUACGCUUUGGAAACUGUUUAACUUGAGUGCAAGAGGGGAGAGUGGAAUUCCAUGUGUAGCGGUGAAAUGCGUAGAUAUAUGGAGGAACACCGGUGGCGAAAGCGGCUCUCUGGCUUGUAACUGACGCUGAGGCUCGAAAGCGUGGGGAGCAAACAGGAUUAGAUACCCGCGUAGUCCCUGUCUCUUAUACA